rnacentral:misc_RNA from 1 species
GAUGAAGAACGUAGUGAAAUGCGAUACUUGGUGUGAAUUGCAGAAUCCCGUGAACCAUCGAGUCUUUGAACGCAAGUUGCGCCCGAAGCCAUUAGGCCGAGGGCACGCCUGCCUGGGCGUCACACGUCGUUGCCCCCCCAUCUAAUCCUUCGGGAUUGCGGGGGGCGGAUGAUGGCCUCCCGUGCGCCUCGUCGCGCGGUUGGCAUAAAUGCCAAGUCCUCGGCGACGCACGCCACGACAAUCGGUGGUUGCGAAACCUCGGUUGCCCGUUGUGUGCGGUCGUCGCGCAUCGAGGGCUCGAAAAAAUUGCCGGGCUCCGGCUCGACUUUCAACGCGACCCCAGGUCAGGCGGGGUUACCCGCUGAAUUUAAGCAUAUCAAUAAGCGGAGGA